rnacentral:lncRNA from 1 species
CUUACCUCUGAAUGAGUGCUCAUAUGCUUUGUCCUAAGAAAGAAGAAGACCUAGUAUUUAUAUUCUGGGCUCCUGAAAGUGCACCCUUAAAAAGCAAGAUGAUUUAUGCUAGCUCUAAAGAUGUCAUUAAAAAGAAAUUUACAGGUAUUAUACUCUAGUGGCAAGUAAAUGGCUUGGAUGAUAUUAAGGACCCGUCAACACUGGGAGAGAAACUGGGAGGCAAUGUAGUGGUUUCACUUGAAGGAAAAUCGUUAUAAAAUGACCAUCAAGUGCCAUCUAGAUCUUAAGGAGGUUUCAUUUUUCCAGCUCAGUCCACCAGAAUAGCAUUAGGUGUUUUUUGUUUUUGUUUUUUCCCUUUCCACUGGGCCCUUCCAACACAGUGAAUAAAGGUGAUAUCAUUCAUUUAAGCAGCCUGUAAGUGACUGCUA